GAUGAACGCUGGCGGCGUGCCUAAUACAUGCAAGUCGAGCGAACAGACGAGGCUUUUGCUCUUCUGACGUUAGCGACGGAUGGGUGAGUCAUACGUGGUUUACCUAUUUAUUUGACUUGGAUAUGUUCGGGUAACUCUAGUUAUUACCGGAUAAUAUAUUUAACUGCAUGGUUCAAUAGUUUAAGAUGGUUUUGCUGUCACCUAUCGAUGUAUCCGCGUCGCAUUAGGUAGUUGGUCAGGUAACGGCUUACCAAGGAUACGAUCCGUAGCAGGCGUGGGAGGGUAGUCGGCCAGACUGGAACUGAGGCAAGGUCCGGACUCAGACAGGGGGCAGACGUAGGGGAUAUUCAGCAAUGGGCAAAAGCGUGAAGGGGCAACGAGGCGUGAGUGAUGAAGGUCUUCGGAUCGUAAAGCUCUGUUGGUAGGGAAGACCAAACGGGUAAGAAGAAAUGCACGUCUUGACGGUACCUAAAGAGAAAGCCACGGCUAACUACGUG
rnacentral:rRNA from 1 species